GCAGUCACCCCCGCCGCGGUGGCCACGGGAUUGGAGUUGGAAAUGCGCAGAAUGACCCGGCUGCGGUGGGCUCCUGCCGCAGCUUCGAAAAGGAGACCCUGCGGCGGCGGCACUCCUCAGGGCUCAGGCAAGUUUUCGGCCAUGGACCAUCCCAAUCCUACCCUGAGCGGGCGUCCAUGCCGGGGUCGCGCGCACAGGCGCUGCAGUGGUGGCGGAGGAGCGCGCGCUGAGCCCCGUAUGGGGACGGCCAGCGGCGAAAAUGGACGCGAGUGCGCCGCGCCGUCGCCUUCCACCGUUUCAGACUCGCGACGCCGGCCGAGCUUCGCGUUCAGGCAUGACUCAGAGCGCGCAUGGCCCACCACAGGCUCGAUGGAAUGCCUGGCCCAAUGCGCUGCAUGAAGGCUCACUAGCAGAGUCAAAGAAAAGGCAAAGACAAAGUUGGACAGCAUGUUUAGCCUGAAAGAAAGCCACUCCAUUGAAGAGAUGUUGUGGAACCAUGGUCUGGAGUGGUUGUCACAAAGACCAAGUAGGUGUGGAGUCAAAGAAGGACAUUGGGGCAUGCAGGAUGCAGUGGAGCAUGUUCUUGAAGAACUUUUGUGAUGUCAGUAGACCAAUCAGUGACACAAGCAUGGAUCGAGCGAAGACGCACAGUGCACUUCCCAUAGAUAGUGCUAUAUAUACAGAGAAGAGGAGGCCUAAUCUAACUGUUGGGGUGGUUGCAGAUGUUGGAGGAGAUGCCCAUGCCAUCCAAUAGUUGCUUGCAACCUGGAAUAUUUGGAAGAAUGACUGUGCAGCGAUUGUUACUGGCACUAAGGCUCCACCAUGAACUGCCCUCAGGAGUUGCAGUCUUCAAUCUCUGCCUCCACCAUCUGAUUUUCUUGAAAAGAAACUGGGCCAAUAUACUCAUGAUGAAUAUCAGUUGUAUCAAUGCAGAAGUGCUCAUCCAGAAGCAAGGACCAGGAAAGCAAAAGGUAAAAGAAUGGUGGACAAAGAGACCACCAUAUAGUAUAAUCUGACUCAUGGACGUGUCUCAGAGGAGAGGAAUCAAACGUAUGCAUGAACCCAUCGUCUGCAUGCAGGUACAGCGAUUGAUCGAAGCCUUACC